GAACAUGAGGCCUGCAACAUCUGUCACCCGACUGAUCACCAGUGUGGACUCAGAUGAUCUGGCUGGCUAGGCAGGCAUCCCCUUCCUCCCUCACAGCUUCAUGUGUGUCCCUCCUGAAGCUGUGCACUCUGUAGGACAACCAGCCCAGUAGAAGAGGACCAUUUCCUCAGUCAAGGGUAUACACGUAGCUGCAUUCCCCUGCUAGAACCUCCAUACAAACUCUCAAAUCAAUGAAGGUAGUCGGAUUUGGGGACAGAGGUAAAGGCUUAUAGUU
rnacentral:snRNA from 1 species